AACGCACAUUGCGCCCCUUGGCAUUCCGAGGGGCAUGCCCGUUCGAGCGUCAUUAUAACUCUCAAGCCUUAGCUUGGUGUUGGGGCCUGCUGUUACCGGCAGCCCUUAAAAUCAGUGGCAGUGCCACCUGGCUCUGAGCGUAGUAAAUACUUCUCGCUACAGGGUCUGGUGGAUGCCUGCCAGCAACCCCUAAUUUUCUAUGGUUGACCUCGGAUCGGGUAGGGAUACCCGCUGAACUUAA
rnacentral:misc_RNA from 1 species